rnacentral:lncRNA from 1 species
CUUUUUUUUUUUUUUUUUUUUUUUUUUUUUUUGUGUCUUCCACUUCAAAGUAAAAAAUCUGUAAACUACUAGGAGUGGAAAACAUGACAUUCAGCCCAUAGGUGAAGGCUCUGAUUAAUGUCAUAGGUGGGAUGUGUGAACAAGAAAUUGUGUUAUUCUGUGCAUAAACAUCACUUUAUUUUCUAAAGUGGUAAUUUCAAGUGCCUCUUUUUGCAUCCUGUUUGGGUGCUCUUUCCCCUCCCACGUGCCAUCUGCUCUGUCCACCAGCACCACACGUUGAUUAGCACCCCUGGAUGUGGGACACUGUUACAGAACCAGAAAGAAACCCAAGACAGUCCCUUCCUUGAGGAACAAUCACCGUCCAAAGCCAGGUUAGUUUCCUUUGGAAGUAGAAAGAAAACUCCCUCGAGUCAGUUGUCAAUAUAGUAACCCCCUCCUCCUUUCUGUAACUCCUGGUCAAAAGUAUUGAUACUUAAUUUACAGUCAGAGCAGCUGUCGUUCUGACACGGAAGGAAAACAAACAAAAAAAUUCCUUUGAUCAGACCAACUUAAAGUAGGAAAGAGAUGGUGAAUUUCAUUUGUGGAUCACUCUUCUGCAUAAGAGAAUUUCUGAUCUUUUCUGUAGAUCAAGGGCUAUAUAUGAAACCACUCAAAUGCCUCGACACGAGAAUGGAUGCAUAAAUUGUGAUCCAUUCACAUAGGGAAUGAAUGUUGUAUAGCACUGAUAAUGAACAGCCUAUGACUAUAGCCAACAAUAUGGUUGGAUCUCAUAAUAUGACGCUGAGCAAAAGAAGCCAGACGUGAAAGUGUAUAUCCUGCCGGCUCCCAUUAAUGCAAAGCACAAAAUUAGCAAAAGUCGUCUGUGCUGUUGGAAGCAAGAGUAGCAGUUUCCCAGAGGGGAUGGUAAUGACUUCCAGGGGCCAGCGGGGGGCUUGGUGAUGGUCCAUUCUUGAUCUGGGUGGUGCUAGGCUUAUGUGCACACUUCCCUAUUUAUGUAAUUUUUCAAUAAAAAGUUUUAAAAUAA